CCCCAACGGGUGGGACCAUGUGGUUUAUUCGAUGCAACGCGAAGAACCUUACCUACCCUUGACAUCUACAGAAGCCGGAAGAGAUUCUGGUGUGCCUUCGGGAACUGUAAGACAGGUGCUGCAUGGCUGUCGUCAGCUCGUGUUGUGAAAUGUUGGGUUAAGUCCCGUAACGAGCGCAACCCUUGUCCUUAUUUGCCAGCGAGUAAUGUCGGGAACUCUAAGGAGACUGCCGGUGACAAACCGGAGGAAGGUGGGGACGACGUCAAGUCAUCAUGGCCCUUACGGGUAGGGCUACACACGUGCUACAAUGGCCGGUACAAAGGGCUGCGAGCUCGCGAGAGUCAGCGAAUCCCUUAAAGCCGGUCUCAGUCCGGAUCGGAGUCUGCAACUCGACUCCGUGAAGUCGGAAUCGCUAGUAAUCGUGAAUCAGAAUGUCACGGUGAAUACGUUCCCGGGCCUUGUACAAACCCGCCCGUGA
rnacentral:rRNA from 1 species